rnacentral:rRNA from 1 species
AGCGAACGCUGGCGGCAGGCUUAACACAUGCAAGUCGAGCGGGCACUUUCGGGUGUCAGCGGCGGACGGGUGAGUAACGCGUGGGAACGUGCCCUCUGGUUCGGAAUAACUCAGGGAAACUUGAGCUAAUACCGGAUACGCCCUUUUGGGGAAAGGCUUGCUGCCGGAGGAUCGGCCCGCGUCUGAUUAGCUAGUUGGUGAGGUAACGGCUCACCAAGGCGACGAUCAGUAGCUGGUCUGAGAGGAUGAUCAGCCACACUGGGACUGAGACACGGCCCAGACUCCUACGGGAGGCAGCAGUGGGGAAUAUUGGACAAUGGGUGCAAGCCUGAUCCAGCCAUGCCGCGUGAGUGAUGAAGGCCUUAGGGUUGUAAAGCUCUUUUAUCCGGGACGAUAAUGACGGUACCGGAGGAAUAAGCCCCGGCUAACUUCGUG